UUUUGUUCCAUUGAAGCUUCAGGUAAUUCAAUUUGCUCUUUGCCACUAGAUUUGCUUGCAUAGCCUCAUUCGCAUCCUUCACAUUAUGCAGAUUUUUAAUUUCCAACCCACCGUGAAUAGAGUUCAGAUGUUGCAGCUCCGUGAUGGUACGCCCAUUCUCCCAACCAACAAUGAACAUCCCCAGUGUCUCAAGGUUAGUCAACUGGCCCAGGAAACGAGGCAUGCAAGACAAUGCGUUGCAUUUUGAUAUAUCCAUGUGUCUGAGGUUGCAUAGGUUACUUAUGCCUUCAGGUAAUUCUCGCAGCCGGGAGCAUCCUUGGAGGUUCAAUGUCUGCAAAUUGUAAAGUCUGGUGAUCGAGGUAGGUAAUGUUGUGAUAGCAGUAUAUGAUAGAUCAAGGAAUCGUAGCUGCUUUAAUCUGCUCAUUGUAUCAGGCAACUUCUGAAUUGUACUCCCACUCAAGUCCAAUGCACGUAUUUGGGUGAAUUUUUUGUUAUAUUGAGGAAAAUUUCAUCAGCACCAUAAGGUCCAUAAACCCACCGCUGCCGCCGCGAC
rnacentral:lncRNA from 1 species